rnacentral:rRNA from 1 species
GACGAACGCUGGCGGCGUGCUUAACACAUGCAAGUCGAACGAAGUGGCGAACGGGUGAGUAAUACGUGGGUAACCUGCCCUCCUUUGUGGGAUAAACCUUGGAAACGGGGGCUAAUACCGAAUAAAGGGGGAUGGGCUCGCGGCCUAUCAGCUGGUUGGUGGGGUGAUGGCGUACCAAGGCGGUGACGGGUAGACGGCCUGAGAGGGUGAACGGCGACGUUGGGACUGCCCUACGGCCCACGCGCGUCCGGUGUGGAGCAGUGGGGGAUAUUGCAGAAUGGCCGAUAGCCUGAUGCCGCGACGCCGCGUGGGGGAUGAGGGUUUUCGGGUUGUAACCCUCUUUCGCUAUCGACCCGGUAGCUGGAGAAGAAGCGCCGGCUAACUACGUGCCAGCAGCCGCGGUAAUUC